rnacentral:rRNA from 1 species
AGAGUUUGAUCCUGGCUCAGGAUGAACGCUAAGGCUUAACACAUGCAAGUCGAGGGGUAGAGUUUCUUCGGAGACUUGAGACCGGCGCACGGGUGCGUAACGCGUAUGCAAUCUGCCCUUUACUGGGGGAUAGCCCGGAGAAAUUCGGAUUAAUGCCCCAUAUGCCCGUAGAAUCGCCUGGUUCAGCGGGAAAGUUCCGACGGUAAAGGAUGAGCAUGCGUCCCAUUAGCUAGUUGGUGAGGUAACGGCUCACCAAGGCGACGAUGGGUAGGGGGCCUGAGAGGGUGAUCCCCCACACUGGUACUGAGACACGGACCAGACUCCUACGGGAGGCAGCAGUGAGGAAUAUUGGGCAAUGGAGGCAACUCUGACCCAGCCAUGCCGCGUGCAGGAAGACGGCCCUCUGGGUUGUAAACUGCUUUUGUUUGGGAAUAAACCCCUCUACGUGUAGGAGGCUGAAGGUACCUUACGAAUAAGCAUCGGCUAACUCCGUGCCAGCAGCCGCGGUAAUACGGAGGAUGCAAGCGUUAUCCGGAUUUAUUGGGUUUAAAGGGUCCGUAGGCGGGUCUUUAAGUCAGUGGUGAAAGCCCACAGCUCAACUGUGGAACUGCCAUUGAUACUGGAGAUCUUGAGUGUAGUAGAAGUAGGCGGAAUAGGGCAUGUAGCGGUGAAAUGCAUAGAUAUGCCCUAGAACACCGAUUGCGAAGGCAGCUUACUAUGUUACAACUGACGCUGAGGGACGAAAGCGUGGGGAGCAAACAGGAUUAGAUACCCUGGUAGUCCACGCUGUAAACGAUGAUUACUCGCUGUUGGCGACAUACAGUCAGCGGCCAAGCGAAAGCAUUAAGUAAUCCACCUGGGGAGUACGCCGGCAACGGUGAAACUCAAAGGAAUUGACGGGGGCCCGCACAAGCGGUGGAGCAUGUGAUUUAUUCGAUGAUACGCGAGGAA